GAUUCCUUCCGUCCUCGGCUUUCCGCGGAUGGUAUGCCUACGGCACCGUGUAAACGCCUUUUCGAAGUGUCACCUUCACGGCUCGGCUCGUAAUCGAGCGUCGAGCCGCCGCGCGCUGCGAUAUUUCGACCGAAGAAAGAAAAAAUGCGAUUUCUAAGCCGAAUGCGAAGGGAAAUGUGCGAGUUUAUCUUUGAUUUGCAGGGCAAUAUCGCUCGAUGGGGUAAAUUUGGCCGAAUUUUCCUUCAGCUUGUAAACAGAAAUGUUUACGGCUCAUUUUUAUAGUUGCCGAUUGUCAACGAUUGUAAAAAUAUUGGCGCAAGGUUUAUGUAACUGUAUCUACUUUCUUCUAAAUUGUACAUUUUCGUUUACUAGCUGAAGGAACAUUGGGGAGAAUUUAGUGUAGUCGAUCCGGCAGGUUUUUAUUGUUUGUAAAACAUAAGAAUAAUAAAAUAUAGUUUAGUUGAAGAUACAAAAUACGUGACGAAGAGACGAGAAAAAAUAGUCGUUGAGAAUCAAGUCGCCUUGGAUUAUCGAAAUAUCACGCUGUGCGCCGCGGCAAUGGUCAGCAUAUUUUGCCUUUUUUAUGAGAGAGAGAGAGAGAAAGAGAGAGAGAGAAAGAGAAAGAGAGAGAGAAAGAGAGAGAGAGUUUUCUCCGAUGAACGACAGCGAUCGAGGGAAGACACGCCAUUUCUUGACAAAUGGCCUUUAACUGUCACGGAUUUCUUUUAUUCUGUUUUAGAGAGAAAGUCGAGCGAUGGAUAGAAAAAUACGUUUCCAGAUAUCAGUGAAAUUUAAUUCGAGGAACUGUAAUCGAGAAGCUUAAUGAAAUAGUGCCCUAUACAUAAAGACGAGCGAAGAAGCAAAGCUCUAGUAAAACAACAGCUAAAAAUCGGUAAAAUUUGGUGCGAGGAACUGCGAUUAUUAUUAUUCCCAUCGAUGGACGAAGGUCGCACAUGCUAUCGUGCCUAAAUCGUGCGAUUCGCUCAAAUUCUUUGAAUUCAGAAAACACAAUUCUUGAAGUCGUACGAUUCAACUCUGACACGUGUCGCGCACAAUGUAUCAAGGACACGUUGCUUCUAUGUUGCUUUGCACCGAACCGGGAAAUAUUUGCGUUUCAUUGAGGAUUUUCCGUGAACAAAAAACUAUGGAAAGCGAGGCGAGCAUUGAACACGCGAGGAAAGCUAUUUUGUGUAAACUUUACACCGUAAUGUACAAGAAAGACUGAAACCUCUUCUGACAUAUCAAUUUUCCUAUCAAAA